AGAGUUUGAUCCUGGCUCAGAUUGAACGCUGGCGGAAUGCUUUACACAUGCAAGUCGAGCGGCAGCGCGGGGCAACCUGGCGGCGAGCGGCGAACGGGUGAGUAAUACAUCGGAACGUGCCCAGACGUGGGGGAUAACUACUCGAAAGAGUGGCUAAUACCGCAUACGAUCUAAGGAUGAAAGCGGGGGAUCGCAAGACCUCGCGCGUUUGGAGCGGCCGAUGGCAGAUUAGGUAGUUGGUGGGGUAAAGGCUUACCAAGCCCGCGAUCUGUAGCUGGUCUGAGAGGAUGAUCAGCCACACUGGGACUGAGACACGGCCCAGACUCCUACGGGAGGCAGCAGUGGGGAAUUUUGGACAAUGGGCGAAAGCCUGAUCCAGCCAUUCCGCGUGCAGGAUGAAGGCCCUCGGGUUGUAAACUGCUUUUGUACAGAACGAAAAAGCUCUUUCUAAUACAGAGAGUCCAUGACGGUACUGUAAGAAUAAGCACCGGCUAACUACGUG
rnacentral:rRNA from 1 species